rnacentral:tRNA from 1 species
UAGCUCAGUGGUAGAGUGUGUGCUUAGCAAACAUGAGGUCCUGGGUUCAAUCCCCAG